AGAGAGCAGCAAAAGGGCGUACGGUGGAUGCCUAGACACGAAAAGCCGAUGAAGGACGUAGCAGCCUGCGAAAAGCUUCGGGGAGGUGGCAAGCAACCUUUGAUCCGGAGAUGUCCGAAUGGGGAAACCCGGCUGCCUGUUGAGGGCAGUCACAAUCCAGGGUGACCUGGUGCGUGGGAACCCGCUGAAGUGAAACAUCUCAGUAAGCGGAGGAAAAGAAAGAAACGAUGCCAUUAGUUCAGGGUUUUGGUUCUGGCCGGUUUCGGCUGGCCCGAAACAUGUCCUGAACUAUUGGCUACUAUUCCCCUAGUAGCGGCGAGCGAACAGGGAAAAGCCCAAACUCAUGGUUGUGGUUUGGCGCACCGAGCUAGAAUGGCAACAUUCCUGCCACGGGCGUUCAAAUAAAGGUGCCGGCCGUUGCACCAUGAGGGUUGUACGUAGUCCGCUUGGAACACCGGUGAUGUUCCGGCGAGUCAAAAAAGUUGGAUCAUAGCAAAACGAUCUGGAAAGGUCGACCACAGAAGGUGACAGUCCUGUAUGUGAAAUGUUCCAACUCUUCGCGCGGACUUAACGUGAGUAAUGCGGGACUCGUGAAAUCCCGUAUGAAUCAGCGACGACUAUGUCGCAAGGCUAAAUACUUUUCGUGAUCGAUAGUGAACUAGUACCGUGAGGGAAAGGUUAAAAGCAGCCCGGGAGGGCGAUGAAAUAGUAUCUGAAACCGUACGCUUACAAGGAGUCGGAGCCCUAGUGCCGCAAGGUACAGGGUCACGGCGUUCCUAUUGAAGAAUGAGCCAACGAGUUGGAUGUGUGUCGCUCAGGUUAAGUCCCCGAGGGGACGGANNNNNNNNNNNNNNNNNNNNNNNNNNNCGUAGUUGACUGCCAUCAACUCUGUCGGUCGCGCAAGCGGUUGACAGAGAGAUGGAAGUCAGCAGGUGGCACGCACCAGACCCGAAACCCAGUGAGCUAGCCAUGGCCAGGUUGAACCAGGGGUAAGACCCUGGGGAGGACCGAACCCGUCAGUCGUGUAACGCUGUGGGAUGAGCUGUGGCUAGAGGUGAAAUGCCAAUCGAACUGGGUGAUAGCUGGUUCUCCGCGAAAUAGCUUUAGGGCUAGCGUCGGUUUAGAAGCACACGGGGGUAGAGCACUGAAUGGGGGCACCGGGAGCAAUCUUAGGUCCCUCAACCAAACUCCGAAUACCGUGUGUGGAUUUCCGGCAGUCAGACUAUGGGGGCUAAGCUCCAUUAGUCGUAAGGGAAACAGCCCAGACCUCAGACUAAGGUCCCUAAGUUUCAGCUAAGUGUGAAAGGUGGUGGAUUGUCUUAUACAACCAGGAGGUUGGCUUAGAAGCAGCCAUCCUUCAAAGAAAGCGUAACAGCUCACUGGUCAAGAUGAUCUGCGCCGAAAAUUUACCGGGGCUAAGCUGGACACCGAAGUCGGGGAUCUCGCAGCAAUGCGGGGUGGUAGCGGAGCGUUCUCAUCUGGCUGAAGCCGGACCCGUGAGGGCCGGUGGACGGAUGAGAAGUGAGAAUGUUGGCAUAAGUAGCAAAAAUGGAAGUGAAAACCUUCCACGCCGUAAACCCAAGGUUUCCUGGGCAACGAAAAUCGUCCCAGGGUUAGUCGGUCCUAAGGCGAGGCCGAAGGGCGUAGUCGAUGGACAGCUGGUUAAUAUUCCAGCACUUCCGUACGUGUUCGAUGGGGUGACGCAUUUCUCCAAUCUGAGCGAUUUUAGGCUAUAGUCGUCGCGAGGGCGCAAGAAGUUCCGUAGGUAAAUCCGCGGAUAUAAUUCAAGCGCUCGGCGGAAGCUGACCGUGAGGUCGGCAAUUCAGAUGUCAGAGGUGCCAAGAAAAGCCUCUAAGAGCUAUCGCGUACGGGAUCCGUACCGCAAACCAACACAGGUGGGUGGGCAUAAAUGUGCCAAGGCGAACGAGAGAACCCUCGUUUAGGAACUCGGCAAAAUAGUGGCCGUAACUUCGGGAUAAGGCCCGGUCCCCGUAAGGGGACCCACAGCAAACGACUGUCAACCGACUGUUUACCAAAAACACAGGUCUCUGCUAAGCCGCAAGGCGAUGUAUAGGGGCUGAUGCCUGGCCAGUGUCAGAACGUUAAGAGGAGGGGUGAAAUUCUUCUUCGGAAGAACGUAGCUUUGAAUCCAAGCGCUGAUGAACGCCGGCGGUAACUAUAACCGUCCUAAGGUAGCGAAAUUCCUUGUCGGGUGAGUUCCGACCCGCACGAAUGGCAUAACGAGUUGACAACUGUCUCAACGAGGGACUCGGCGAAAUUGCAAGGGGAGUGAAGAUGCUCUCUACCCGUAGCUGGACGAAAAGACCCCGUGAAGCUUUACUACAACUUGUUAUUGGGUUUAGACCUCGCAUGUUCAGUGUAGGUGGGAGCUUCGGCACCAAUGAGACACCACCCUUGCGUUGUUUAAAUUCUAAUCCUGUGACCUCACAGGUCGCGAAAGUAAGAUUUUCGGUUUCGACCGGAAUGUUCUUUACAUCUUUCGCGGUCGUUGCGGUCACGGGAGACAGUAGCUGGUGGGUAGUUUGACUGGGGCGGUGGCCUCCUAAAAGGUAACGGAGGCGUUUACAAAGGUUGGCUUAGCUCCGAUGGAAACGGAGCUGGACGUGCAAACGCAAAAGCCAGCUUUACUGGAAGUCCUACAAGACGACCAGUCACGAAAGUGGAAGUUAGUGAUCCGACCGUACGAAAUAGGACGGCGGAAGCUCAACGGAUAAAAGCUACUCCGGGGAUAACAGGCUGAUCAGGUCCAAGAGUCCACAUCGACGACCUGGUUUGGCACCUCGAUGUCGGCUCAUCGCAUCCUGGGGCUGGAGAAGGUCCCAAGGGUUAGGCUGUUCGCCUAUUAAAGCGGUACGCGAGCUGGGUUCAGAACGUCGCGAGACAGUUCGGUCUCCUAUCCGCUACGGGCGCGGAAACUUGAGGGUACGCUUCUCUAGUACGAGAGGACCGAGAAGCACGAACCUCUGGUGUACCAGUUGUCCUGCCAAGGGCAUUGCUGGGUAGCUACGUUCGGUGGGGAUAAGCGCUGAAAGCAUAUAAGCGCGAAGCUCUAUCCAAGAUUAGGUUUCAUAGACUCCAGGGAGACUACCUGGUUGAUAGGCGGCAGGUGUAAGGCCAGCAAUGGUUUCAGCCGAGCCGUACUAAUAAGUCAUUCUGUUCUUCUU
rfam:Candidatus Thrbacteria bacterium RIFOXYC2_FTLL_47_19 rifoxyc2_full_scaffold_163, whole genome shotgun sequence.